AUACGGAGGGUGCAAGCGUUAAUCGGAAUUACUGGGCGUAAAGCGCACGCAGGCGGUUUGUUAAGCGAGAUGUGAAAUCCCCGGGCUCAACCUGGGAAUUGCAUUUCGAACUGACAAACUAGAGUACGAGAGAGGGGGGUAGAAUUCCAGGUGUAGCGGUGAAAUGCGUAGAUAUCUGGAGGAAUACCAAUGGCGAAGGCAGCCCCCUGGUUCGAUACUGACGCUGAGGUGCGAAGGCGUGGGGAGCAAACAGGAUUAGAUACCCUGGUAGUCCACGCGGUAAACGAUGUCUACUAGCAGCUCGCUCCGUAGAGGAGGGUUUUGCGCAGCUAACGCGUUAAGUAGACCGCCUGGGGAGUACGGUCGCAAGAUUAAAACUCAAAUGAAUUGACGGGGGCCCGCACAAGCGGUGGAGCAUGUGGUUUAAUUCGAUGCAACGCGAAGAACCUUACCAUCCCUUGACAUCCACAGAAGAAUCUAGAGAUAGAUUGGUGCCUUCGGGAACUGUGAGAC
rnacentral:rRNA from 1 species